UUGUGAGGUGAGAGAAUCCUUGCCUGUUAGAACCUGAUGAUUGGAGUUUGCAUGGGGUGUGAUGAAUGUCCUGUGUAAUCAGGACUUGGGGCACUCUGAUUGCUCUUACCUGGU